rnacentral:rRNA from 1 species
ACGCUCGACACCUACGGGGGGCAGCAGUGGGGAAUAUUGGGCAAUGGGCGCAAGCCUGACCCAGCAACGCCGCGUGAAGGAAGAAGGCUUUCGGGUUGUAAACUUCUUUUAUUAAGGACGAAACAAAUGACGGUACUUAAUGAAUAAGCUCCGGCUAACUACGUGCUAGCAGCCGCGGUAAUCUGAGCGGGCUGGCAAGGC